rnacentral:rRNA from 1 species
CCAGACUCCUACGGGAGGCAGCAGUGGGGAAUAUUGCACAAUGGGGGGAACCCUGAUGCAGCGACGCCGCGUGGGUGAAGGAGCACCUCGGUGCGUAAAGCCCUAUCGGCAGGGAAGAAAAGCGAACAGGUUCGCCUGGACGGUACCUGACUAAGAAGCCCCGGCUAACUACGUGCCAGCAGCCGCGGUAAUACGUAGGGGGCAAGCGUUAUCCGGAUUUACUGGGUGUAAAGGGAGCGUAGACGGCAGUGCAAGCCUGGAGUGAAAGGAUGGGGCCCAACCCCAUGACUGCUCUGGGAACUGUACAGCUAGAGUGCCGGAGGGGUAAGCGGAAUUCCUAGUGUAGCGGUGAAAUGCGUAGAUAUUAGGAGGAACACCAGUGGCGAAGGCGGCUUACUGGACGGUAGCUGACGUUGAGGCUCGAAAGCGUGGGGAGCAAACAGGAUUAGAUACCCCAGUAAC